UAUCUACAUGUAAUUGUAUGUAUAAUGUGUGCAGACGAUGUUUGCGACUUGGUAUGUUUGCACAGGCGACUGGAGCGAAACAAAGCACUCAGAACGAUAAAUAAUGCGUUGAGCGAGGGUCCACAGGCUCAAUUGUGGAAGGAAUUUCAAAGCAAACAUAGCUUACAAAAAAACUCUAUUUAGCAAGGACAAACAUCUCUUCAGCUUACCUAUUCCAGCUGAAAAAGUGGUUCAUAAAGUCUUGAUCAAAGAACCAAAGUCGAAAGAGCAAUCACGACAAACUGUGGCUAUCAUUAGACAAAAUGUUAUACGAAAUUGCGACAUUUGGAAACUAAAUGAAAGAAUGUGGUUCAAUGACGUGGGAUGGUGUUCAUGUAAAUGACUUUCUCUAUCACGUCUUCUGUUCUGACAAUGUAAGAUCUAGAAGAAAGAUACAAAUUGUGUAAAUCAACAAGUGUGCAUGCUUAAAAAGCAUCUGGUAAUAGUGAUAUUGUAUAUACCUCUCGUUCGCCUGGCUGUUUUUCUUGAUCUUCGUUAGCAUCGGCAGUCGGUCACGAAAUAGCGACAUCAUCUUUUGAAAGUCAUCUACGACUACGUACACUCUGUUGGUCUGUCUAGAAUAAAGGAAUUUCUUUAUGAUAGCAACAGACGAACUGCGAAGUAAGACAACAAAGGGUUCUUUCUUGAUGUGCCUCUCGUAGGUGACAGCGUAAAAGACUUCACCGUUAUGUUGCUGCUCAAAAUUCCGGGCUUGCAUGGUGGAAAAAUGUUGCAAUUUUUGGUUCUGAAGAAUAACAGAUGUGCAAUAUUGCGUGUACCGCAUUAGUUAGUGAAAGAUAACGACCACAUACCUAGACUGCAAAAGUCGCGUAUGCAAUUUCGAAUAGGGGAGAGACGUCAUCAUGGUCUUGAAUAAAUGCGUUU